rnacentral:rRNA from 1 species
UCAGGACGAACGCUGGCGGCGUGCUUAACACAUGCAAGUCGAACGAUGAACCACUUCGGUGGGGAUUAGUGGCGAACGGGUGAGUAACACGUGGGCAAUCUGCCCUGCACUCUGGGACAAGCCCUGGAAACGGGGUCUAAUACCGGAUAUGAGCCUGGGAGGCAUCUCCCGGGUUGUAAAGCUCCGGCGGUGCAGGAUGAGCCCGCGGCCUAUCAGCUUGUUGGUGAGGUAAUGGCUCACCAAGGCGACGACGGGUAGCCGGCCUGAGAGGGCGACCGGCCACACUGGGACUGAGACACGGCCCAGACUCCUACGGGAGGCAGCAGUGGGGAAUAUUGCACAAUGGGCGAAAGCCUGAUGCAGCGACGCCGCGUGAGGGAUGACGGCCUUCGGGUUGUAAACCUCUUUCAGCAGGGAAGAAGCGCAAGUGACGGUACCUGCAGAAGAAGCGCCGGCUAACUACGUGCCAGCAGCCGCGGUAAUACGUAGGGCGCAAGCGUUGUCCGGAAUUAUUGGGCGUAAAGAGCUCGUAGGCGGCUUGUCACGUCGAUUGUGAAAGCCCGAGGCUUAACCUCGGGUCUGCAGUCGAUACGGGCUAGCUAGAGUGUGGUAGGGGAGAUCGGAAUUCCUGGUGUAGCGGUGAAAUGCGCAGAUAUCAGGAGGAACACCGGUGGCGAAGGCGGAUCUCUGGGCCAUUACUGAC